CUGACAUAUGAGGUCUCUUAAACUUUCUGAAGAAACCGUUAGUGGUUACUUUUAACGCUUCAAAAUGGUGCUGAUAUUCAUACGUGUUCGGUGAUGCAUUUUAUUGUACACUUUCAGGCUUAUAGCAGCAUUUCUAAUAACCAUUAAAGUAACCAUUUCAUGCAUAGCAGGAAUGUGGGGAAAAACAAACUAAAAACCGUUAAUGGAGGAAAGUGCGUUUUGUUUGCAGGGAGCUUUAUAUACGACUUCUCUACUGGCUGUGAAUUAAACCCUCGCAUUGGAAAUGUUGACCUCAAAUACUUCUGCGAGUUACGUCCAAGCUUAAUUGGCCGGGAAGCUAUCUUGACGACUAUGGACAUUACCCAUGAUGGGUUUGGAUUCAUGCUAGCAUUUGGAGAUCUGGUAUGGGUUCUGUUGAUAGAAAGCCUGUCGGCUGAAGAUAAAGUCGGUCAUCCAAACGAGAUUUCUUGGCUUGCUGCUUCUGCAAUUAUUAUUCUAAAUAACAUGAAAAGUGCUAAUUGGUGUGCUAUCCCAUCAUGUGAAAGAAGCCAUGUAUGAGGGACUAAAUCCAAGACAUUAGGACACCAGUAAAGGAAGUAUCUGAAGGAUCUGAUUAUGACAACGGAUUAGUCUAUGAUAAACGUGUAAGAGUGUAAAGAUUUUUCAUGUAUGGUUACAUAGAAUAAGAUGCUGCAAUGCUGCAAUGUACCUUUCCUUGGUUUGGUACCAAGGACGGGACUGCAAGGCUAUGAACAUCAUUUGGAUAUUGGUGACUCUGGGGCCUGCAGGUAGAGGACGCGUGCAAAAGACAGUGUGCUGUGCACAAAAAGCCAUUAUUACCUGUGUACCGUGUGGAAAUUACCUGUGUGUGUUGUGGGAAAAUCUUGAGUGUGGUGUGCAGAGAAAAGGAAAUCUUCACCUUAGAGCUCAUGUGUGUCAGAGAGCCUGAAAGGGCUGGGCUGCAUCUGUGGGCGCACCUGGGAGGUGGCUGAGAUGGCCUGAGAGGUCGGAGGGCCUGAAAGAGAGAGGUUGCAAAGUGGGAAAGCAACCGUGUCUACCUGAAGGAUGGCUUGUGAGCAAAGUCUCCAACAUUAAUAAGAGCGUGGAUUAACAUCACUAGACUUGAAGACUACAUCAUCAACGCAGAGAUAGAAGAAGACUUGAGGGUCGUCCUGGCUUGUUUUCUUCUAACCCCAGUCAUACGACCUCUUAGUCUUCCUAGGGAAAUAAAUAUCACCCAUCCUUUCCUGUGUUAUAGUCUGUAUAUGUCUGUAUGGCCCCCUGCAUAUAGCAGUGCCAAUAGUAGGAAUGUAUGUAUAUACACUUAGUACAGUAAAUUGUUUCCAGGGUAAGUAAUAGGUUUUGGUAUUUUUUAGUGGUUGCUCAUUGUGUUUAAUAAACCAUUUUAAUUCCUUAAA